CAUUGUUUCUUGUUUUUUUCA
rnacentral:miRNA from 1 species